GCCUGAUGAGUUCAUUUGGAGUGAACGCCGGUUUCGUAAUCCGGAAGACGGGGUUCGAUGCCCCGAUCAGGCACCA
rnacentral:tRNA from 1 species